AAACAGUGUCGGUUUCUGUGCUCGAAUGGUUCCCAGUGUGGAGUGCAGCACAUCUGUUUCCUGUCACCCAUCGCCCACCAGGCACUUGGGCCAUUUGGACAUUUUCACUGCGGUGCCAAUAUCUUUUGAGGACGUGUCCGUGUACUUCACCAAGACAGAAUGGAAGCUUCUGGAUCUUAGGCAGAGGAUCCUCUACAAGUAGGUGAUGUCGGCAAACUAUCACCACCUUCUGUUGCUGGGGCUGCAUGUCGCUCAGUUCUGGAAUGGGACAGUGUGUGACUAUUUCAAGGCACCCUCAUUGCCGACGGUGGCAGGCGGCGGCGGGCGAGGCUUCUGAUAUGUCCGCCUCCUCCCUGCACUUGCUCUGUUGUCCCUCUUCAUUCCAGCCACGGGGGCUGGUCUCUCUCUCUCCAUCUUCAAGCAGAGCACCCUUCGGGAGGCUUCGCUGCACCCCGUGUCCCCACCGUUAGGUGGCCCAUCCGUCCUGGUUCUAUAAGAGCUGUAGGCCUGGGGGCCGGGUGGCAGCGCACCUGGUUGAGCGCACACGUUACAAUGUGCAAGAACAACCCAGGUUCGAGCCCCCAGUCCCCACCUGCAGGGGGGAAGCUUCAUAAGUGGCGAAACAAUGCUGCAGGUGUCUCUCUGUCUCUCACCUUCUCUAUCCCUCCCUUCCCUCUCAAUUUCUGACUGGCUCUAUCCAAUAAAUAAACAUAAUAAAAAAUUUAAAAAGAGGAGCUGUAGGCACAAGUCUUCUGUCGGCUCUGUCGGUGCCAGAUGUGUUCGACUACACUGCUUUGGCCUCUCCUAAGUGUUGUUGUUGUUGGUUUUGAUCUUGAAAAGCACACUGUUUCCUCUCACUUGAACCCAAUUCAUAGGCCUUUCGCCAAGUAGGACUGUGCCAUGUG